GAUGAACGCUGACAGAAUGCUUAACACAUGCAAGUCAACUGUGGCGGACGGGUGAGUAACGCGUAAAGAACUUGCCUCCCAGAUAGGGACAACAUUUGGAAACGAAUGCUAAUACCUGAUACUGUGAGAGAGCUUUGCGUCCCAUUAGCUAGUUGGAGAGGUAACGGCUCACCAAGGCGACGAUGGGUAGCCGGUCUGAGAGGGUGAUCGGCCACAAGGGGACUGAGACACGGCCCUUACUCCUGCGGGAGGCAGGAGUGAAGAAUAGUGGACAAAGGACCAAAGUCUGAUCCAGCAAUUCUGUGUGCACGAUGAAGUUUUCGGAAUGUAAAGUGCUUUCAGUUGGGAAGCGGUACCAACAGAAGAAGUGACGGCUAAAUACGUGCCAGCAGCCGCGGUAAUAC
rnacentral:rRNA from 1 species